rnacentral:rRNA from 1 species
AUACGGAGGAUGCGAGCGUUAUCCGGAUUUAUUGGGUUUAAAGGGAGCGUAGGCGGGAGCUUAAGUCAGCGGUUAAAUGGUGCGGCUCAACCGUGCCCUGCCGUUGAAACUGGGGUUCUUGAGAGUGCCAGCGGCGGAUGGACUUCAUGGUGUAGCGGGGAAAUGCUUAGAUAUCAUGAAGAACUCCGAUUGCGAAGGCAGUCCGCUGGGGCACGUCUGACGCUGAUGCUCGAAGGUGCGGGAAUCAAACAGGAUUAGAUACCCUGGUAGUCCGCACGGUAAACGAUGAUUACCCGCUGUCGGCGGUAGACAGUCGGCGGCCAAGCGAAAGCGAUAAGUAAUCCACCUGGGGGUACGCCGGCAACGGUGAAACUCAAAUGAAUUGACGGGG